rnacentral:tRNA from 1 species
GAGAAUAUAAGUUAAUAAAACUAGUAAAUUGCAAGUUUGAAAAUGGAAGGCCUAGUCUCG